rnacentral:rRNA from 1 species
CCUACGGGAGGCAGCAGUGAGGAAUAUUGGUCAAUGGACGAGAGUCUGAACCAGCCAAGUAGCGUGAAGGAUGACUGCCCUAUGGGUUGUAAACUUCUUUUAUAUGGGAAUAAAACGUUCCACGUGUGGGAUUUUGUAUGUACCAUAUGAAUAAGGAUCGGCUAACUCCGUGCCAGCAGCCGCGGUAAUACGGAGGAUCCGAGCGUUAUCCGGAUUUAUUGGGUUUAAAGGGAGCGUAGGUGGAUUGUUAAGUCAGUUGUGAAAGUUUGCGGCUCACCCGUAAAAUUGCAGUUGAAACUGGCAGUCUUGAGUACAGUAGAGGUGGGCGGAAUUCGUGGUGUAGCGGUGAAAUGCUUAGAUAUCACGAAGAACUCCGAUUGCGAAGGCAGUUCACUGGACUGCAACUGACACUGAGGCUCGAAAGUGUGGGUAUCAAACAGGAUUAGAUACCCUUGUAGUC